rnacentral:rRNA from 1 species
GGAAUCUUGGGCAAUGGGCGCAAGCCUGACCCAGCCAUGCCGCGUGUGUGAAGAAGGCCUUCGGGUUGUAAAGCACUUUCAAUAGGGAGGAAGGCUUGAUGGUUAAUACCCAUUGAGAUUGACGUUACCUAUAGAAGAAGAACCGGCUAACUCCGUGCCAGCAGCCGCGGUAAUACGGAGGGUGCAAGCGUUAAUCGGAAUUACGGGGCGUAAAGCGCGCGUAGGCGGAUGAUUAAGUCAGAUGUGAAAGCCCCGGGCUCAACCUGGGAACUGCAUUUGAGACUGGUCAUCUAGAGUACAGAAGAGGGGGGUGGAAUUCCAGGUGUAGCGGUGAAAUGCGUAGAUAUCUGGAGGAACAUCAGUGGCGAAGGCGACCCCCUGGUCUGAUACUGACGCUGAGGUGCGAAAGCGUGGGUAGCG